GUCGACGCGGUGAGGCUGGGCACCGGCGAGUGGUUCGCCGGGGUCCUCGCCUGCGGGUUCGACUCCCGCGUCAACG
rnacentral:tRNA from 1 species